rnacentral:rRNA from 1 species
AGAGUUUGAUCCUGGCUCAGAAUGAACGCUAGCGGCAAGCUUAACACAUGCAAGUCUAACUGGUUUAGCAAUAAAUCGGUGGCAAACGGGUGAGUAAUGCGUAGGAAUCUACCCAAGAUUAAGGAAUAUGUACUAGAAAUAGUAAGCAAUACCUUAUAAUUCCUGAGGGAAAAAGAUUUAUCGAUCUUGGAUGAGCCUGCGUGGGAUUAGCUAGUUGGUGAGGUAAUGGCUCACCAAGGCUGUGAUCUCUAGCCGACCUGAGAGGGUGGUCGGCCACACUGGGACUGAGACACGGCCCAGACUCCUACGGGAGGCAGCAGUGGGGAAUAUUGGACAAUGGGCGAAAGCCUGAUCCAGCUAUGUCGCGUGAACGAUGAAGGUCUUAGGAUUGUAAAGUUCUUUUAGUAGGGAAGAUAAUGACGGUACCUACAGAAAAAGCUCCGGCUAACUUCGUGCCAGCAGCCGCGGUAAUACGAAGGGAGCUAGCGUUAUUCGGAAUGAUUGGGCGUAAAGGACACGUAGGCGGUUUUGUAAGUUUUGGGUGAAAUCCCCGGGCUCAACCCGGGAACUGCUCAAGAUACUGCAUAACUUGAGUAUGGGGGAGGAUAGUGGAAUCUUUGGUGUAGCGGUGAAAUGCGUA